UUUGGCAAGGCUACUACAUUCUAUAAAAGCACCAGAUGCUGUCUGAUUUUGGAAGCUAAGCAGGAUCAGUCCUGGUUGGCACUUAGAUGGGAGACCACCAGUGAAUUCCAGGUCCUGUAGACU
rnacentral:rRNA from 1 species